UACAGAGGGUGCAAGCGUUAAUCGGAAUUACUGGGCGUAAAGCGUGCGUAGACGGUUAUGUAAGUCAGAUGUGAAAAGCCCCCGGGCUCAACCGAGGAAGUGCAGUCGAAACUAACAAGCUAGAGGACGGCAGAGGAUGGUGGAAUUCCAAGUGUAGAGGUGAAAUUCGUAGAUAUUUGGAGGAAUACCGAUGGCGAAGGCAGCCCCCUGGGUCAAUACUGACGCUCAUGCACGAAAGCGUGGGGAGCAACGAGGAUUAGAGUACCCGGUAAGAUCCACGACC
rnacentral:rRNA from 1 species